rnacentral:lncRNA from 1 species
UUGACUUAAUAUUUUUAAGGUUUACUGCAAGCAGAAACGGUGAGCUCGAAAGACAGUCUAUGUAAAAAGUCCUCUGACAUAUACCCACAGUAUUUAAAAUCCUCUAAUUGUACCAGUGUUAUUCAAGUUUAUAGAUGCACAAAUGUUAUUCAAUAAGACCCAUUUGAUAAGAAAGUCCUCUCAAACGUAUAUCGAGCUUAAGAUAGGGUGCUGGUAGGUUCACAUUAUCUAAUAUCAAUUUAUUUAAGGAAAUGUUCUAUUUGUCUUGAUACUGUUCUGAAAUAGUAUAUUUUUAAUAUCCAUAUAUAUCUACUAAUCUAAUAAAAAUUCAUCUCAGUCAACCAAUAAAAAUAUUUGAAGCAUAAAAAAUCAAUUAGCAAAAAUCUCAAAUAGCCAUAUAUCUUCAAAUGUUUCCCCCAGCAAAGAUUGAGAAGAUAAACUUCUUGAUGUAAAAUAUUUUUGAUGGAGUGCGUCAAAGAGCAGUACACUUUUCCUUCAAUAAAAGAGACAAAUGAAUCAAUCCUAAUGAUAUCCCCAACGGAAGACUGCCAGCUUCACACUGCUAAUCAAAUCAAACAGCCAACAAGCAAGAAGAGAACUUUAUAUUUUGCAUAAGAGACAAAAACGAAUGAUAUGCAUGAAUAUUCCUAUUUACCUGAAACCAUGAGCCACUGCUCCAAUCAUGGACAGCAAACGAGAUGCUUCGUCAAAGGACCCUUGCUGUGCCGAAGGUCCUCCGAUACCGACGACGGUUCGUCGCACAUCAAUAUCCCCAGUGCCGCACACCUCCGAUCCAUGAGCAAACGGAUCUGACCCCAGGGAGCCCUUCAAGGUUUCCCCACAAUAAGCUGGAAGGGAAGUACACCGAGGCGACUCAGGUGACCGGCGGCGACGCAGGAAGGAGAGAGGGAAAAGGAAAAUUUCAGGAAGCAAGCAAGUGGGGAAAAGAUGAGAUAAGAGAGUGAGGGGAAAAAUUCAGGAAGAAGGAAGUGGGGAAAAGAAGAUGGGAGCUGCUUUAAACCAUUCAAUUCUGCGAUGCU